GCCUGGGUGGCUCAGUCGGUUGAGCGUCUGACUUCAGCUCAGGUCAUGAUCUCGCGGUUUGUGGGUUUGAGCUCCGUGUCGGGCU
rnacentral:tRNA from 1 species